AAACAUCUCUUACCAAAUUACAUUAUUGCUAUGACCUUUUUUUAAAGGGUUCUAAUGUUGAACUGGGCGUCCAAUAAGUUAAUAGAACCCGGGUUACAUGAUAAAGAAUUUAGCUCUAUUCACCCCCUCAAACUAUACACAUGCCUAAAAUGGAUAUGCCAUGUACCAUAUUUGUGCGGAGAAAGAAAAACUUGCAUCGCAGCAUUGUAGUAUAGUCAGCGUAGAUAAUGGUGACCUCGGGAUGAACCUCUCUGAUUUUAUUUAAUUCCAUCUUGAGUUGUUCAUUGUGAUACUCAGCAAACUUGUUUAACUGCGUAAUGCAUCCGGUUGCAUUAUCAUAUUUCACUUUGU
rnacentral:lncRNA from 1 species